GCAUAAUACAGGUCCGUCGGUGCUCCAAUAAGGAGCCUAAGAGGGAACACAGCAAAACUGUGGCUGCCCCCGCAAUUGUACGCAGCGAGUCCGCGCUCCACUGCCACUGGUUUUUACCGGGAAGGCCGGCGCGAAUGAAGACCUGCCAGCCAAGAGACCUGCCGACCCACCGCAUUCGCG
rnacentral:ncRNA from 2 species